AAGAAAAAAGCAGCUGUUAAAACAGUUGUUGUGCACCAGGGGAAGGGCCCUGCCUUCCUUCCACGCUGCCAAACUCCGUAAACAGUUGUCAUUUUCUUUCACUCGGUGUGGCCCUGCCAGCGGCUGAGUCCCCUGGUUUGGGGGGACGGAGGUGUCAGGCCAACUUCAAGUUUUAGUUGCUUUCGACGUAAAGACAGAAGAUUCUGCAUUUCCCAAGAAAAGGAAUUCCUGAAUUCCAAACCCGAGGCAGCAACCUGUUCAGAGGAAGUGUGUGGGUCUCUCACAGACUGUGUUAAUCGAACUGUUAGAGUCUUUGUAAGUCAUCAAUAAGUGCAGAUAAAGACACCCACCCCUGUAAAAGUUACAAACGUCCAAUUUAUAUUUUCAGAAUGUCAGCUACCGUGGGUCUUGUUUCCCUUCCCUCCUGGUGGACGAGACUUUAAGUGCUGUAAUCACAGCAACUGUGGGCAAACCAAGGAGGUUAGAAAGGAGCCGCUCUAGGAAACAGAAGUACAAAGGAGAAGGCACACCCACUCCCGGGCAUAUUAAUCCAGACGGACUCAAAUAAUGAAACAGAGACCAAAAAGGAGCUUUGCCAAUCCUGUGCUAGGCUGCUGGCUUGGUCACAAGGGAGCCUCUGCAGCUUAGGGUACGACGGGGCCAGGUGUUCUAGGGAGCUCAAUGAAAAUGCAUUGUGACAGAACCAGAGUUGAAGUUUGAGAAUGAACACGGCCGGCCAAACUUGAAUCGUUUCGAACAUUCAAACAGCUGAACUGUCACACAUAGCCCGGUGGAAUAAAGUGGCCAACCACCA